ensembl:snRNA U6 U6 spliceosomal RNA
GUGGUUCAGAAAAAGCAGGAGCACCUAUACUAAAAUUGGAACGACAUAGAGAAAAUCAGCACGGCCCCUGCACUAAAAUGACAGGCAAAAGCAUAAAGCGUUCUACAUUUUU